UACGAAGGGGGCUAGCGUUGUUCGGAAUCACUGGGCGUAAAGCGCACGUAGGCGGAUCUUUAAGUCGGGGGUGAAAUCCUGGAGCUCAACUCCAGAACUGCCUUCGAUACUGUAGAUCUUGAGUCCGGGAGAGGUGAGUGGAACUGCGAGUGUAGAGGUGAAAUUCGUAGAUAUUCGCAAGAACACCAGUGGCGAAGGCGGCUCACUGGCCCGGUACUGACGCUGAGGUGCGAAAGCGUGGGGAGCAAACAGG
rnacentral:rRNA from 1 species